rnacentral:rRNA from 1 species
GGAUUAGAUACCCUGGUAGUCCACGCCGUAAACGAUGAGAACUAGAUGUUGGGAGGAUCUGCCUCUCAGUGUCGCAGCUAACGCGUUAAGUUCUCCGCCUGGGGAGUACGCCGGCAACGGUAAAACUCAAAGGAAUUGACGGGGACCCGCACAAGCGGUGGAGCAUGUGGUUUAAUUCGAUGCAACGCGAAGAACCUUACCUGGCCUUGACAUCCUCGGAACUUGUCAGAGAUGACUUGGUGCCCUUCGGGAACCGAGUGACAGGUGCUGCAUGGCUGUCGUCAGCUCGUGCCG